GCCGGUGGACGGGGUCGGGAGCUAUUAACGUAGGGGUGGGCACGAGGGGGGAGUGUUGGUUGUGUCGAGGUUUCUUUAGGGGUAGCGGCGGCGAGGGAGGGUGGAACAAGUGAGCGGCGGUACAGGCGGCGCAGUAGGAGGGGGGAGUGGCAGGGUUGACUGAAGGACGAGGGAGAGUUGGGCCAUAGGAAAAACGCCGCUGCUCUAGCGCUGCUUGAAGCGUUCCUGCCCUCUGUUCCGCCCAGUAACCAAGAUGUUCACAUCUUUUAUGCUACGGGCGGUCACGGCUAAGAAGCUACGGUCUUCCGCAUGCACUCCUCCGAUUGAGGCGAAGUCGAACGGGCACGAAUCUUCGUUGUUCGUUCAGCUGUAAGUGGUUCGGCACGUCUACCAGGUACGACGGUUGGUUGGGGGUACACGUCGUUCCGCUACCUCCCGUCUAUCGGUGGGUUAGGUCAGAAACGGUGGCGCCAGAGCCGGUCCCGUCUGAAACAUAGUUUGACUAGUUGAUGUUCGGCGGCAACGUAGGGCAAGGGUUUACGAACAUCAACGGCGAGACGACGAACGUCGACGGUUAGAGUACGAAUGGUACGAACAAGAAGACAAACAUCAGCGGUCCAUGAAACCGAGCCAUUAAUUACACAAGUCUCGACAAAUGACUCAACGGCACGCUUGCCGGUCUUCCGCAGUUGGUACAGUCCCACCGAGGGACAUGGAGUUCGGACAAAGUGGAUUUUAUCUUGAAAUAACCGUCGUAGUAUACAUUACUAUCAUUGAUACAAUUCAUACGAACAAUGACCGACAGUAACUUUAAUUAAGACACAUUACUUUAAAGAAUAACAAUACGAUAAUGUGUUAAACAAUAUAUUCUCUUGAGAGGG
rnacentral:rRNA from 1 species